rnacentral:rRNA from 1 species
UACGUAGGGGGCAAGCGUUGUCCGGAAUCAUUGGGCGUAAAGAGCGUGUAGGCGGCCAGAUAAGUCCGCUGUGAAAUCCCGAGGCUCAACCUCGGAACUGCCUUUGAUACUGCAAAUCUCGAGUCCGGAAGAGGUGAGUGGAAUUCCUAGUGUAGAGGUGAAAUUCGUAGAUAUUAGGAAGAACACCAGUGGCGAAGGCGGCUCACUGGUCCGGUACUGACGCUGAGGUGCGAAAGCAUGGGGAGCAAACAGGG